rnacentral:lncRNA from 1 species
CCCCUUCUCCACCAGAUCUGAAACUCACCUUUUGGAACUUGGAAGUACUCUUGAUGAAGCCUCCAAAAAGUAAAAUAUGUGGCAUGAAACUCCUCUUGGGCGGCCAAGAGGGUGUGCACAAAAAGGGGGCGUGCACAAGGAGGGUGCUAGAAACCCUAGCGCCUCCUUUCUUUCCUUUUUGGGUUGGUAGCCAAGAAACCCUGGGGUUUCUUGCUGCUAGGACAUGGAAAAGACCAGAGAGAGAG